UACGUAGGGUGCAAGCGUUGUCCGGAAUUAUUGGGCGUAAAGAGCUCGUAGGCGGUCUGUCGCGUCGGCUGUGAAAACCCGGGGCUCAACCCCGGGCCUGCAGUCGAUACGGGCAGACUAGAGUGCGGUAGGGGAGACUGGAAUUCCUGGUGUAGCGGUGAAAUGCGCAGAUAUCAGGAAGAACACCCGUGGCGAAAGCGGCUCUCGUGGAACGGUACUGACGCUGAGACGCGAAAGCGUGGGGAGCGAACAGG
rnacentral:rRNA from 1 species